rnacentral:rRNA from 1 species
AGAGUUUGAUCCUGGCUCAGGAUAAACGCUGGCGGCGCACAUAAGACAUGCAAGUCGAACGGACUUAACCAUUAGUUUACUAUUGGAGCGGUUAGUGGCGGACUGGUGAGUAACACGUAAGCAACCUGCCUAUCAGAGGGGAACAACAGUUAGAAAUGACUGCUAAUACCGCAUAUGCCUAAGUACCACAUGGUACAAUAGGGAAAGGAGUAAUCCGUUGAUAGAUGGGCUUGCGUCUGAUUAGAUAGUUGGUGGGGUAAUGGCCUACCAAGUCGACGAUCAGUAGCCGGACUGAGAGGUUGAACGGCCACAUUGGGACUGAGAUACGGCCCAGACUCCUACGGGAGGCAGCAGUCGGGAAUAUUGCGCAAUGGAGGAAACUCUGACGCAGUGACGCCGCGUGCAGGAAGAAGGUUUUCGGAUUGUAAACUGCUUUAGACAGGGAAGAAACAAGACAGUACCUGUAGAAUAAGCUCCGGCUAACUACGUGCCAGCAGCCGCGGUAAUACGUAGGGAGCGAGCGUUAUCCGGAUUUAUUGGGUGUAAAGGGUGCGUAGACGGGAAGAUAAGUUAGUUGUGAAAUCCCUCGGCUUAACUGAGGAACUGCAACUAAAACUGUUUUUCUUGAGUACUGGAGAGGAAAGUGGAAUUCCUAGUGUAGCGGUGAAAUGCGUAGAUAUUAGGAGGAACACCAGUGGCGAAGGCGACUUUCUGGACAGAAACUGACGUUGAGGCACGAAAGUGUGGGGAGCAAACAGGAUUAGAUACCCUGGUAGUCCACACCGUAAACGAUGGAUACUAGGUGUAGGGGAUAAUAAAUUCUCUGUGCCGUCGCAAACGCAAUAAGUAUCCCACCUGGGGAGUACGGCCGCAAGGUUGAAACUCAAAGGAAUUGACGGGGGCCCGCACAAGCAGUGGAGUAUGUGGUUUAAUUCGACGCAACGCGAAGAACCUUACCAAGUCUUGACAUCCCUUGACGAUGCUGGAAACAGUAUUUCUCUUCGGAGCAAGGAGACAGGUGGUGCAUGGUUGUCGUCAGCUCGUGUCGUGAGAUGUUGGGUUAAGUCCCGCAACGAGCGCAACCCCUGUUUCCAGUUGCCAGCACAUAAUGGUGGGGACUCUGGAGAGACUGCCGGUGAUAAAUCGGAGGAAGGUGGGGACGACGUCAAAUCAUCAUGCCCUUUAUGUCCUGGGCUACACACGUACUACAAUGGCUAUAACAAAGAGAAGCGAAGCCGCGAGGUGGAGCAAAACUCAAAAAAGUAGUCUCAGUUCGGAUUGCAGGCUGAAAUUCGCCUGCAUGAAGCCGGAAUUGCUAGUAAUGGCAGGUCAGCAUACUGCCGUGAAUACGUUCCCGGGCCUUGUACACACCGCCCGUCACACCAUGAGAGUUGGGAAUACCCGAAGCCUGUGAGCUAACUGUAAAGAGGCAGCAGUCGAAGGUAGAAUCAAUGAUUGGGGUGAAGUCGUAACAAGGUAGCCGUAUCGGAAGGGGCGGCUG